GUUGAGGUCUAUCCUGAUGGGGCUUUUCCUAUAUCCACUCAUCAUUGGAAACACCUCCUAGAGCAACUAUGUGGCUUUGCUUUGCUCAUAGGACUUAUUCUUAGGUCUGUGGGAAAGAACUACAAGACAGCU
ensembl:snoRNA